rnacentral:rRNA from 1 species
AAUCAACGCUGGCGGCGUGCCUAACACAUGCAAGUCGAACGCGAAAGUCCCGCAAGGGAUAAGUAGAGUGGCAAACGGGUGAGUAACACGUGGGUGACCUGCCUUCGAGCGGGGGAUAACGUCCCGAAAGGGACGCUAAUACCGCAUGACAUCCUGCCUUUGAAUAGGCGGAGAUCAAAGCCGGGGAUCGCAAGACCUGGCACUCGAAGAGGGGCCCGCGCCUGAUUAGCUAGUUGGUGGGGUAACGGCUCACCAAGGCGACGAUCAGUAGCCGGCCUGAGAGGGCGGACGGCCACACUGGGACUGAGACACGGCCCAGACUCCUACGGGAGGCAGCAGUGGGGAAUUGUUCGCAAUGGGCGCAAGCCUGACGACGCAACGCCGCGUGGAGGACGAAGACCUUCGGGUCGUAAACUCCUUUCGAUCGAGACGAAUGGCCUCCGGGUGAACAAUCCGGAGGAGUGACGGUACCGAGAGAAGAAGCCCCGGCUAACUCCGUGC